GCACCAGUGGUGUAGUGGUAUCAUGCAAGAUUCCCAUUCUUGCGACCCGGGUUCAAUUCCCGGCUGGUGCA
rnacentral:tRNA from 1 species